rnacentral:rRNA from 1 species
CCUACGGGAGGCAUCAGUGGGGAAUAUUGGACAAUGGGGGCAACCCUGAUCCAGCCAUGCCGCGUGUGUGAAGAAGGCCCUCGGGUUGUAAAGCACUUUCAGUGAGGAAGAACGCCUGGUGGUUAAUACCCAUCAGGAAAGACAUCACUCACAGAAGAAGCACCGGCUAACUCCGUGCCAGCAGCCGCGGUAAUACGGAGGGUGCGAGCGUUAAUCGGAAUUACUGGGCGUAAAGCGCGCGUAGGUGGCUUGAUAAGCCGGUUGUGAAAGCCCCGGGCUCAACCUGGGAACGGCAUCCGGAACUGUCGAGCUAGAGUGCAGGAGAGGAAGGUAGAAUUCCCGGUGUAGCGGUGAAAUGCGUAGAGAUCGGGAGGAAUACCAGUGGCGAAGGCGGCCUCCUGGACUGACACUGACACUGAGGUGCGAAAGCGUGGGUAGCAAACAGGAUUAGAUACCCUAGUAGUC